AGGAAAGCUGAACUGUGCUGGAAAAAGACCAUGGCUCAAACAUUACAGAGCCAGAGUCAUUUUAUCAAUAAGUACAUAGAUCUGCUCACGCAGGAUUCAGAGGAUCUGGACGCCUCAGCCUCUACAUCAGCAGAGCAUAGGUACCUAAGCAUGCUCGUAGUGACGCAGUGUUCUUAAUAAGUCAACUUGUAUUGUAUUCUCAAUAUCCAGUCAGUACAUUUAUGUCAGUAAAUGCAUGCAUCAACACUUCCUUGACUUUGCUGAGCAGUUGUCUGUUCUUUGUCCUAAAAGUUCUUGCAUAUAAUGGUGGUCUUCACAUAACAUAAGUAAAUUCCCAUCCUUAAACUCUUUAUCUUGCAUAUUCAUUUCGAGCAUUUUCUGUUGGGGUAAAUGAGUAGAGAGGAUCCUAGGCCAUUUUUAGCAAUUUCCUGGUGAGUAAAAAAAGAUGAAUCCAUUUAUUCAACAUUAAUUAUUUUAACAAAUUCAGAGGGACCUUAACAUAAAAUUAAGGUUAUAGUGUACUUGUAACCAUCCGUCUCUGCUUGGUACAGCCCCAGUUCAUGUGACGGUGCUCUGGUGUGUGUGGGACCUCGUCGUUGGCGUGCCAGAGGAGGAGAGAGGAGGCAGAUGGAGAUGUGUGUCCUGUGUCACGAAGCGCAGGAGAUCCUACCUGAUGGCACUGCCAUGGUGCUCGCUGCCUUUGUCCAACGCUCUACGGUCAUGUCCAAGAACCGCAAAAGACCCCCUCACAAUCCAGAUACUUUGAGACACUCCAGAGUCAGGAUGCGCAGUGGCUGCAUGAGCAAACCAGUUACGAUGUAGAGAAUGGGGAGUACUUGUGUCCACUCUGUAAGUGUCGCAGUAACACUGUCAUUCCUCUCCUGCCCCUCACUGAGACCACCUGCAGUUACAGCAAUAGUGAGCAGCCAGGUCUGGCUCAUUGGCUGAAUACAACGUGCCAGCAGAUCAGAGCCUUGCACUCUGCUCAUAAGAGAGCCAAGCAACAAAUGAGACUGGUGAGACAGAGACUGUGGAGGACUCUCCUCCUCCUGAGAGUUUCAGGCUGGACCACACACCAGUCAACCCUUAUUCAAGCUCCAUAAGGGAGAUGCUGAUGACAUUUGGGACCGCAACUUAUAAAGUUGGCCUUAAGGUGCACCCUAAUGAGCAGGACCCCCGUGUGCCUAUCAUGUGCUGGGGCAGCUGUUCUUGCACCAUCCAGUCUAUAGAGAGAUUAUUGGUAGAUGAGGAGAAGCCUUGUUUGGAAGUUUACCCUGUAGACAGGUAUGACAACCCAACUUAUUGUCAUAUCUCAGCCCAGCCAGGACUCGGUUUCCCGAGAAGCAACACCCAUUUCUAACAUGGCCGCUGAGGACUACACUUCCCACACACGCAUGCGCUCACUUCCCCGGAGUUCUGAUCUCACACACCUGCAGCCAAUCACCUUGUCCACUCACCACGGCUUAUUAAGAGACUUUGGAUACAGGGACACUUUGUGAAGUAAACAUUCAGUAGACUAGUUUCUCUGUCGUUCUCCAAGCGUUACCUGCUGUGUUUAUUCAAUAAGUGACUUUGACCUUUGCUUAUGUCCCCGACCACGAUUUCUGUCUUGCCCCGUUUGUUUUGUUUGCAUGAUGCCUGACCCUCGCUUGCUUCUUGACUACGGACUGUGUUCACCCCUCUGGAUUAUUCUGCCUGAACCUGCCGCCCGCUUCUGCUUCUGUAUUCCCCACGGUACGUGACACUUAUCAUGCCAGAAUGAAUUCUUCUUUCGAGGGAUGUGUGAAGAUGUAAUAAAUUCUGUAUCAGAGGUAUUGUUAGUACUGUUAAAAUACUCCACUAAGCACUGUUUGCUUGCAGGACGUAGUAGUUAAUUGUACACUGGAAUAAAUUCUUCCGAUGAUUUGAUUUGCUUUUCACUUGUAAUUCUAAAUAUAAAAGCAUAUAUAACUGUGUAUAUAUAAAUGAAAAUAGACUGCAUCUGUCAAAUCAUUACUCAAGCUUCUGAGCAUCAUUCGCACUCUAAAGAUAUCUAGAAGAUUGCUCAAUUAUGUUCGGGGUUCAUUUUGGUAGCAUUACUAAAUAUUCUGAAUCACAAAUAUCUGCGGGUAUUAUGCUCUUCUUCCUCAGUUCUAAUUUCUUCUAUAUCCUGUGAUAUUUAUAUAUAUUCUGUAUCCUGAAUAAUAAAAAAUAGAAGUGUCAUGAAACGUGCCCUUGUUUAGGAGACUAUUUGAGUUCCCUGGCUCAGUUUGGCUCUGCAUGCUGGACUGUCUCCUCUCACUCCUGUGCAAAAUCACUUCAUGUGACUGUUGGCAGAUAUAUUUAUUUCAUUAUUUAUUUUUCUCUCACUUGUAGUUUUUUAGUUCUUUAACUGUGCUCUGUGCAGCACUUGUUCUUGCUCCCCAGAUGGAAAGUUCCCCCUGCAUUCUGGAUGUGGACACGUUCCACUUAGUGGGGAGUCUGGUGCUGUCCUAUUCAGCAUUGCACUGCUUAGACUCCUCAGGGCUUAGUGCGGAUACUGCACACCUGCAUCUCUUCCACUUGGUCAUUGUUUCUCACCUGGUCCAGAUCCUCCUCACCUCUGUGCCAGGUCCUGGGGAAUGGGAAGUGCUGUGUGCAUAUGUGUCUGCCUCCUAAUCUGCUCCAGCUCUAUUAUAAUCACCAGGAGCUUCUGGAUCCCCUGCUUCAGGGGUGGUGCUCACAUCCAGGCAUGCAACAAUGUCUCCAGUCACCUGAAACCCUUAAGUUUUCCUCGGGAAUCCAAUAAGCUAAUUGAUGUGCCAGAGGAUUACUGUGCACUGAUCAACCAGGCUUUCAGCUUCACGUGAGUCUGUCCUAAGUCAGAUGGAGUUAAGUCUUGAGCUCAAACUCUGUGCUUGGUGUGUGGCACGAUGCUGUCUUCUCAGAGCAGCUGCUGCCAGACUGAGCUGGAGGGUGAGGACGUUGAAGCGUGUACUGCACACACCUUUGUUUGCUGAGCUGGUGUUAGCAUCUUCCUCAGGAAGAUGGAAGACACAUCUGUGUUGAUUGCCAUGUCUUAUAGGGUGAGGGAGAAUCAGGUUCUUUUCCUGUACCUCGAUGACUAUGGAGAACUGUCCAAGGGCUCAGAUGGAGGAAUGCGCUACAGAAAGAUUCAGAAGCUCUGGCGCCAGCACAGCAUCACCGAGGAGAUGGGUCAUGCACAGGAAGCUAAUCAGACUCUGGAGGACAUUGACUGGGAGAUCCUGGAUUUUCUUGGCUAAUGCCAAAUCUAAACUAACCAGGGAUCUGCACAUUUACCUAGAAAUGCCUACAGCCAAAAUCCCCAGUACUGACUGAACGCAUCAAAUGCUGAGUUUACUUUUACAGUCUUGAAUUAACACCUCUGCUAACUGCGUCAUCACCUACAGUCCUGAAUUGACAGUUUACUUAACAGCCAUAAUGCUCACUGUUUACAAUACGAAUUAAAGAUUAUGUAAACCCUGGAAUUGUGAAUUAAGCACACCUUUUGGUUAAAAGAUGGGAAAAAAAGAAUUGGUUUAUCACUCGUUGGUUUUGUAAAUAAGGCUUGGUGAAAAUUAGGUUUAAGCUCUGUUUGUGCCACAGGCUAUAUACCCUUCCUCUAAUUUGUUUUCAAUGGAUGUGUACUGUUUUACAAUCUAAGGGCUUUGUUUGCAUCUAUAAUGAUUACACGGAUAAGACAUGUUUACUGUUUGUCACUUUCCCUUUUCUCUCUCUCCUUUUUGGAUAUACCAGUUAAAUAUGUCACAGUUUAGUCAACUGUAACUCUUUUGUUCCUGGUUGUUUGGAAUCAGUUAAUAAACUGUUUUUAAUAUUGUAUUUUGUUCAUUAGAUUCUAACUGGGAUUGUGAGACAUUUUUGCUGCGUUUGUUUCUUUAGUUUGGAGAUUCCCCUUAUGUCUCUCUUAAUCACACACGGACAAAAACCAAAUGU